GGAGAUAGCUUAGUGGUAAAGUGUUUGCCUGACAUGCAUGAGGCUCUAGGUUCAAAUCCCAGCACCA
rnacentral:tRNA from 1 species